rnacentral:rRNA from 1 species
UGGGGAAUAUUGCGCAAUGGGGGAAACCCUGACGCAGCAACGCCGCGCGAGUGAUGAAGGCUUUCGAGUCGUAAAACUCUGUCUUCGGGGACGAUAAUGACGGUACCCGAGGAGGAAGCCCCGGCUAACUACGUGCCAGCAGCCGCGGUAAUACGUAGGGGGCAAGCAUUGUCCGGAAUCACUGGGCGUAAAGGGCGCGUAGGCGGUUUGUUAAGUCAGGUGUGAAAGUUUUCAGCUUAACUGGAAAAGUGCACUUGAAACUAACUUACUUGAGUACUGGAGAGGUAAGCGGAAUUCCUAGUGUAGCGGUGAAAUGCGUAGAUAUUAGGAAGAACACCGGUGGCGAAGGCGGCUUACUGGACAGAGACUGACGCUGAGGCGCGAAAGCGUGGGGAGCGAACAG